rnacentral:rRNA from 1 species
UACGUAGGGGGCGAGCGUUGUCCGGAUUUAUUGGGCGUAAAGAGCUCGUAGGCGGCUCAGUAAGUCAGGUGUGAAAACUCCAGGCUCAACCUGGAGACGCCACUUGAUACUGCUGUGGCUAGAGUCCGGUAGGGGAGCAUGGAAUUCCUGGUGUAGCGGUGAAAUGCGCAGAUAUCAGGAGGAACACCAGUGGCGAAGGCGGUGCUCUGGGCCGGAACUGACGCUGAGGAGCGAAAGCGUGGGGAGCGAACAGG